GGUUGAUCCUGCCAGUAGUCAUAUGCUUGUCUCAAAGAUUAAGCCAUGCAAGUCUAAGUAUAAGCGUUAUACAGUGAAACUGCGAAUGGCUCAUUAAAUCAGUUAUAGUUUAUUUGAAGAUAAUACCAUUAGGAUAACCGUGGUAAUUCUAGAGCUAAUACUUGCUUUCUAGGCUUUAUUAGAUAUGAAUCACAAUAACUUCAGAUCGAUUGACGCUUCAUUCAAAUUUCUGCCCUAUCAGCUAGAUGGCACGGUAUUGGCGUACCAUGGCAGUAACGGGUAACGGGGAAUU
rnacentral:rRNA from 1 species